UUUGUUGCCAGCGGUCCGGCCGGGAACUCAAAGGAGACUGCCAGUGAUAAACUGGAGGAAGGUGGGGAUGACGUCAAGUCAUCAUGGCCCUUACGACCAGGGCUACACACGUGCUACAAUGGCGCAUACAAAGAGAAGCGACCUCGCGAGAGCAAGCGGACCUCAUAAAGUGCGUCGUAGUCCGGAUUGGAGUCUGCAACUCGACUCCAUGAAGUCGGAAUCGCUAGUAAUCGUGGAUCAGAAUGCCACGGUGAAUACGUUCCCGGGCCUUGUACACACCGCCCGUCACACCAUGGGAGUGGGUUGCAAAAGAAGUAGGUAGCUUAACCUUCGGGAGGGCGCUUACCACUUUGUGAUUCAUGACUGGGGUGAAGUCGUAACAAGGUAACCGUAGGGGAACCUGCGGUUGGAUCAC
rnacentral:rRNA from 1 species